AUACGGAGGGUGCAAGCGUUACUCGGAAUCACUGGGCGUAAAGCGCGCGCAGGCGGUCUUUUAAGUUGGAUGUGAAAGCCUACGGCUCAACCGUAGAACUGCAUCCAAAACUAUUAGACUAGAGUGUGGGAGAGGAAGAUGGAAUUAGUUGUGUAGGGGUAAAAUCCGUAGAGAUGACUAGGAAUACCAAAAGCGAAGGCAAUCUUCUGGAACACUACUGACGCUGAGGCGCGAAAGCGUGGGGAGCAAACAGGAUUAGAUACCCUAGUAGUCC
rnacentral:rRNA from 1 species